rnacentral:rRNA from 1 species
GACGAACGCUGGCGGCGGGCUUAACACAUGCAAGUCGAACGGAGAGGCCCUGCUUUUGUGGGGUGCUCGGGUGGCGACCGGGGGAGUAACACGUGAGUAACCUGCCCUUGACUUUGGGAUAACUUCAGGAAACUGGGGCUAAUACCGGGUAGGAGCUCCUGCUGCUUGGUGGGGGUUGGAAAGUUUCGGCGGUUGGGGAUGGACGCGCGGCUUAUCAGCUUGUUGGUGGGGUAGUGGCUUACCAAGGCUUGGACCGGUAGGCGGCCUGAGAGGGUGACCGGCCAAAUUGGGACUGAGAUGCGGCCCAGACUCCAACGGGAGGCAGCGGUGGGGAAGAUAGCACAAUGGGCGGAAGCCUGAUGCAGCAACGCCGCGUGCGGGAUAACGGGCUGCGGGUUGUAAACCGCUUUUGUCUGUGACGAAGCGUGAGUGACGGUAAUGGGUAAAGAAGCACCGGCUAACUACGUG